AUUGAACGCUGGCGGCAUGCCUUACACAUGCAAGUCGAACGGCAGCACGGACUUCGGUCUGGUGGCGAGUGGCGAACGGGUGAGUAAAGUAUCGGAACGUACCUUUCAGUGGGGGAUAACGUAGCGAAAGUUACGCUAAUACCGCAUAUUCUGUGCGCAGGAAAGCAGGGGAUCGCAAGACCUUGCGCUGAUUGAGCGGCCGAUAUCAGAUUAGCUAGUUGGUGGGGUAAAGGCCUACCAAGGCGACGAUCUGUAGCGGGUCUGAGAGGAUGAUCCGCCACACUGGAACUGAGACACGGUCCAGACUCCUACGGGAGGCAGCAGUGGGGAAUUUUGGACAAUGGGCGCAAGCCUGAUCCAGCCAUGCCGCGUGAGUGAAGAAGGCC
rnacentral:rRNA from 1 species